AGAGUUCGACGACAUACAGUUGAUGAAAUAAAUCAUCCACUGGUUCACACUUCUGUGAUGGGAAAUAGGAUACAGUGAGAAAAUAGUAGGAGUUUUGUCAGGAUACAGAGAGAAAAUGAAAAGGCUUCAUACAGACGUUUCCCAGUUACUUAGCAAUUAAUCUACACGAGUCGCGCAGAAAAUGGAUGAAAUGCAAAUAUGCAUAGAUCACCAAUUUUAGAUUCAGGAAUUAAAAAGUUCCCGAUUUCAUUUUAA